rnacentral:rRNA from 1 species
UGGGGAAUUUUGGACAAUGGGCGCAAGCCUGAUCCAGCCAUACCGCGUGAGUGAAGAAGGCCUUCGGGUUGUAAAGCUCUUUCAGACGGAAAGAAACGGUUACGGCUAAUACCCGUGACUAAUGACGGUACCGUAAGAAGAAGCACCGGCUAACUACGUGCCAGCAGCCGCGGUAAUACGUAGGGUGCGAGCGUUAAUCGGAAUUACUGGGCGUAAAGCGUGCGCAGGCGGUUUGGUAAGACAGAUGUGAAAUCCCCGGGCUUAACCUGGGAACUGCACUUGUGACUGCAUAGCUGGAGUACGGCAGAGGGGGAUGGAAUUCCGCGUGUAGCAGUGAAAUGCGUAGAUAUGCGGAGGAACACCGAUGGCGAAGGCAGUCCCCUGGGCCUGUACUGACGCUCAUGCACGAAAGCGUGGGGAGCAAACAGGAUUAGAUACCCGAGUAGUCCCUGAGCGGGCUGGCAAGGCGCAU